rnacentral:rRNA from 1 species
CUACGGUGAGCUGCAGUGGGGAAUAUUGGACAAUGGGGGAAACCCUGAUCCAGCAAUGCCGCGUGUGUGAAGAAGGUCUUCGGAUUGUAAAGCACUUUCGUUGGGGAAGAUGAUGACGGUACCCAAAGAAGAAGCCCCGGCUAACUUCGUGCCAGCAGCCGCGGUAAUACGAAGGGGGCAAGCGUUGCUCGGAAUGACUGGGCGUAAAGGGCGCGUAGGCUGUUUAAACAGUCAGAUGUGAAAUCCCUGGGCUUAACCUAGGAACUGCAUUUGAUACGUUUAGACUAGAGUUCGAGAGAGGGUUGCGGAAUUCCCAGUGUAGAGGUGAAAUUCGUAGAUAUUGGGAAGAACACCAGUUGCGAAGGCGGCAACCUGGCUCGAUACUGACGCUGAGGCGCGAAAGCGUGGGGAGCAAACAGGAUUAGAUACCCGAGUAGUC